CACACCGCCCGUCACAUCACGAAAGCUUGCUGUACCAGAAGUCGGUGAGUUAACCCGCAAGGGGGACAGCCGCCUAAGGUAUGGCCAGUGAUUGGGUG
rnacentral:rRNA from 1 species